rnacentral:rRNA from 1 species
GACGUAGGGCGCGAGCGUUGUCCGGAUUUAUUGGGCGUAAAGAGCUCGUAGGCGGCUUGUCGCGUCGUUCGUGAAAACCUGCAGCUCAACUGCAGGCUUGCGGUCGAUACGGGCAGGCUAGAGUUCGGUAGGGGAGACUGGAAUUCCUGGUGUAGCGGUGAAAUGCGCAGAUAUCAGGAGGAACACCGGUGGCAAAAGCGGCUUCCUGGUCCAGCACCGACGUUCAGGCACGAAAGCGUGGGGAGCAAACAGG